UCACCAUUGGGCGAAGGCUUGAUGCAAGGACGCCGCGUGAGGGAUGACGCCUCGGUUGUUAACUCUUCAGUAGGAAGAAGCGAAGUGACGGUACUGCAGAGAAGCGCCGGCUAACUACGUGCCAGCAGCGCGUUAAUACGUAGGGCGCAGCGUUAUCCGGAUUUAUUGGGCGUAAAGAGCUCGUAGGCGGUUUGUCGCGUCUGCCGUGAAAGUCCGAGGCUCAACCUCGGAUCUGCGGUGGGUACGGGCAGACUAGAGUGAUGUAGGGGAGACUGGAAUUCCUGGUGUAGCGGUGAAAUGCGCAGAUAUCAGGAGGAACACCGAUGGCGAAGGCAGGUCUCUGGGCAUUUACUGACGCUGAGGAGCGAAAGCAUGGGGAGCGAACAGGAUUAGAUACCCUGGUAGUCCAUGCCGUAAACGUUGGGCACUAGGUGUGGGGGACAUUCCACGUUUUCCGCGCCGUAGCUAACGCAUUAAGUGCCCCGCCUGGGGAGUACGGCCGCAAGGCUAAAACUCAAAGGAAUUGACGGGGGCCCGCACAAGCGGCGGAGCAUGCGGAUUAAUUCGAUGCAACGCGAAGAACCUUACCAAGGCUUGACAUGUGCCAGACCGCUCCAGAGAUGGGGUUUCCCUUCGGGGCUGGUUCACAGGUGGUGCAUGGUUGUCGUCAGCUCGUGUCGUGAGAUGUUGGGUUAAGUCCCGCAACGAGCGCAACCCUCGUUCCAUGUUGCCAGCACGUAGUGGUGGGGACUCAUGGGAGACUGCCGGGGUCAACUCGGAGGAAGGUGGGGAUGACGUCAAAUCAUCAUGCCCCUUAUGUCUUGGGCUUCACGCAUGCUACAAUGGCCGGUACAAUGGGUUGCGAUACUGUGAGGUGGAGCUAAUCCCUAAAAGCCGGUCUCAGUUCGGAUUGGGGUCUGCAACUCGACCCCAUGAAGUCGGAGUCGCUAGUAAUCGCAGAUCAGCAACGCUGCGGUGAAUACGUUCCCGGGCCUUGUACACACCGCCCGUCAAGUCACGAAAGUUGGUAACACCCGAAGCCGAUGGCCUAACCACC
rnacentral:rRNA from 1 species